CACGAUUAACCUAUAAUCUCAUAAAACUGAUUCAAUUCCAACAGUUCCAAACGGUUUGCAAAACAUGAGACAACAAUGAAACUGGACAUUUACACUAAACAAGCUAACCAAAUUAGCUGUGGCUCAUGCCAUUCUAAGUUCACAGUAUGAAGUCCAUUGCAAUUUAAAAAACAAUCCUUGUUCAAUUACAGCAUCCAAAACGGUCAGAACGAUCCUAAUUAGAUAAUUUCUACUUCAGUAGAGUUCGAAUAGACUACAGCUACACAAAUACACAUUAUUGGCUUGACGAUGGAUACGUGAGCAUAGAUAUGAAACAUCGAUCCAUUCCAUUCCGAUUCGUGAUUACAUGAGUUGUGAAUUCGAGUAUGUACCUGGAAAAUUGCAACACAAAGAGAGGAUGAAGAUCAGUAGGAGCAAACAGUAAGUGUAGUAGUAAUAAUCCAUAGAACCAGCCCGGAAUCUUUUAAGUCGAACAAAACUUAACAAAUCCGCUCCAAAAAGUAUCAAAUUCACCCAGAAAUUCACACACAUGAACAAAUAGCUAACAGAACACUCGAAACAGAAUCAGACAACCAAUCUCAACUUGAAAUGAUCCAAAGCAACUCGAAAUUGAACUUAAAACAACUCCUGGAACUUGACUGGUGAAAAGCUCUACCAAA
rnacentral:lncRNA from 1 species